AGUGAACGCUGGCGGUAGGCCUAACACAUGCAAGUCGAACGGCAGCACAGGAGAGCUUGCUCUCUGGGUGGCGAGUGGCGGACGGGUGAGGAAUACAUCGGAAUCUACUUUUUCGUGGGGGAUAACGUAGGGAAACUUACGCUAAUACCGCAUACGACCUACGGGUGAAAGCAGGGGAUCUUCGGACCUUGCGCGAUUGAAUGAGCCGAUGUCGGAUUAGCUAGUUGGCGGGGUAAAGGCCCACCAAGGCGACGAUCCGUAGCUGGUCUGAGAGGAUGAUCAGCCACACUGGAACUGAGACACGGUCCAGACUCCUACGGGAGGCAGCAGUGGGGAAUAUUGGACAAUGGGCGCAAGCCUGAUCCAGCCAUACCGCGUGGGUGAAGAAGGCCUUCGGGUUGUAAAGCCCUUUUGUUGGGAAAGAAAUCCAGCUGGUUAAUACCCGGUUGGGAUGACGGUACCCAAAGAAUAAGCACCGGCUAACUCUGUGCCAGCAGCCGCCGUAA
rnacentral:rRNA from 1 species